AGUGAACGCUGGCGGUAGGCCUAACACAUGCAAGUCGAACGGCAGCACAGGAGAGCUUGCUCUCUGGGUGGCGAGUGGCGGACGGGUGAGGAAUACAUCGGAAUCUACUUUUUCGUGGGGGAUAACGUAGGGAAACUUACGCUAAUACCGCAUACGACCUACGGGUGAAAGCAGGGGACCUUCGGGCCUUGCGCGAUUGAAUGAGCCGAUGUCGGAUUAGCUAGUUGGCGGGGUAAAGGCCCACCAAGGCGACGAUCCGUAGCUGGUCUGAGAGGAUGAUCAGCCACACUGGAACUGAGACACGGUCCAGACUCCUACGGGAGGCAGAAGUGGGGAAUAUUGGACAAUGGGCGCAAGCCUGAUCCAGCCAUACCGCGUGGGUGAAGAAGGCCUUCGGGUUGUAAAGCCCUUUUGUUGGGAAAGAAAUCCAGCUGGCUAAUACCUGGUUGGGAUGACGGUACCCAAAGAAUAAGCACCGGCUAACUUCGUGCCAGCCGCCGCAGUAA
rnacentral:rRNA from 1 species